AUUGAACGCUGGCGGCAGGCCUAACACAUGCAAGUCGAACGAGUGGCGGACGGGUGAGUAAUGUCUGGGAAACUGCCGGAGGGGGGGGAUUACCAACGGAAAACGUUGGCAAUAACGGAUUACAACCAGAUGUGCCAAAAUGGGUUGAGCUUGUUGGUGGGGUAACGGCUCACCAAGGCGACGAUCCCUAGCUGGUCUGAGAGGAUGACCAGCCACACUGGAACUGAGACACGGUCCAGACUCCUACGGGAGGCAGCAGUGGGGAAUAUUGCACAAUGGGCGCAAGCCUGAUACAGCCAUGCCGCGUGUAUGAAGAAGGCCUUCGGGUUGUAAAGUACUUUCAGCGGGGAGGCGUUACCCGCAGAAGAAGCACCGGCUAACUCCGUGCCAGCAGCCGCGGUAAUAC
rnacentral:rRNA from 1 species